AGUCCAACACUGUGGCUGGUUCAUGAUGAUUGCUUCAAGGUAUAUAUGGUUUCUGAAAACAGCCAAUACAAAUUUUGAAGAAAAACCUGCCACUGUGCUGCUAGUGUCAGACACAAACUCUGCUAUAAGGAGAUCUAGAACUUGAUGUGUAUUGCUGGCAGGUGUGAGCCAGAGGUUCAGGGGAAGCACUGACCAUAACAGCUGGGGGUGAACAGCUUGCAGAGGGGACCCAAACAGCAGGUAGGAAGCGGUGACAGAGCGGAACCACCACAGCAAAUAUAAACCACAGCUGAGGGGGACCAGGGGGGCCACAAAAGUGCCUGUGAGGCCCAGGCUGAGGGGACACAUGGUCACACUGGCAGGUGUGGACAGCACAUGGUCAGCACAGCAGGUGAGGACCAGGAGCUAAGAGGGAGGAAGGAGCAACUGUUAGCAGCUGGCUGAGGACACCAAACAGCUGUAACAACAGGGAUGAGCCAGCUGGCUGAGGAGAAUCAAUGACCAUGAUGGCAGGUGUGAACAGCUGGCUGCUGGGAACCACAUGGUCAGGGCAGCGAGUAGAACCACAGGCUGAGGAGACACCACACCCCACCACACCCCACCCCACCACACCUCGAUCAUGUAAACGAGGGUCUGAAGGGGCCAGUGGCUCCUGAGUCCCGGGCUCAUAGCACGGCAGACAGACACUGCUGCCCCAACCCCACAGUCUGGUUGAAUCCAGGGAGCUUUUGAUACCAGCCAGAAAGACCUCCACCCAUCUCCACAUUUCAUUGAUUAUGUGGCAAAAAGAACGAGACGUGUCUCUGGAGCGCCUGGCACGGUGGAGGGAAAUUGCCUUUACAAGCAGCAUUAUCUCCACAUCAGGUAGCAUCUUGUAGCCACGUUCCGCUGGGCAGACACCACACAUUCAGUGGAAACAUGACUGGGCAGAACGGGGAUCUCCUGCCAGCUGGCCCACCCAGGUUAAGCUUGCGCGCCUUGCUGUCUCUUACACAUUCUUCACCGUCCUAAAGGCACUGUGACAGGGCAUUAAGCUGGCAAGGGAGUCAGGGUCCAGUGUGUACCCAGCAAUUAAUGUGCUAAGUGACACUGGGCAAGUCAUUGAAAUGAGGGGAAUCGGUGAGCUUAAGCCUCUCUGGCAAGGUUCUAUGGUCUCCUGCUUCUGCACAUCUAACUCAAAUGAAAAUGAACGAGGUCACAGACAUGAUCUGAUUUUGUCUUGUUUCACCAGUUGAUCGCAAGGCCCAUGACACAUACCAUUUAAACAGCCAUAUAUAUGCAGUAUCACCAUGUCCUUCUAGGACACAAAGACAGGCCAGGCUUCUAAUGCCAUCCUGCCUUCCCCAAACAUGCCCACCUCACAAACCACACUGUGCAAAAGGAUGGAAGUGAAUGUCGCAUCACAGCAAAAUAGCUCAGAACCCCUGGUUCUAUAUAGCUGACCGCAGGGCAAUUCCCACAAUACAGACCUUGUAAUCCAAGAGGACCUAUAAAGUCAUGCAAAGUUAUGGAUGGAAAGAGCUGGAGAUCACACAGAAUGCAGACAUGACAUCCAGUAAGGCAGACUUUGGGGUGGCCCUUGUGGAAGGUCUCCUUGGCUCUCUUAUCAAUCCUCAUUUCUGCUGCCUGCAGCCUCAUUCUAGCAGAGAUCUGGAAUCUACUUGUCCCCAUCCUGCCCACACCCAGGCUGGCCCAGCUGAAGGGUCCAAAGGGACCUACUGUGGGGCCCACUGGCCUGGGCUCCUUCCUCAUCAGGCCUCUGGCUCCAAAUCUUGUUUUUACUAGAAACCAAGUUCUCAGUCCUGCCCUUCCAAGAACUGUAGACUCUACCUUCUGGCUAUGGCUGAUGUCCAGUGCAGAAAUGUGUACAGGUCACUGGGCUUCUGGCUAUGGCUGAUGUCCAGUGCAGAGUGAACAGGACAGCCAGAGGGGAGGGCUGACAGCAGACUGAGGAGGAGGUAGAAGGCAGAGGCUAGGGCAGAGGGACCUCUGCAGAUGCCUAGGAAGUGUUUCAGAGACGACCAUCUUCCUUCAGCCUGUGCUUCUCACAAAGAGAAGACCUGACUUCCUGGGUCACAGGGAACGGAAGCCAUCACUGACAGCACUUAGGACUUGCCAACUUCAAAGCCAUGUUGAACUACAUCCAGAUGGGUCCUUCCCCCAGAAGAGGUGUCCUGCCUCCUCCUAAGGCUCAAGUGGGCACCUGAGCUCAGCAGCCUGCCACGCCCUCCCCCCCCCCCCCCCCCGUAGGCUGUCCUCUCUUCAGUGCCAUCUGUGUGGGCUCUCCUUCCUCCCCUACCCCUCCCCAAACCGCUCUCUCUCCAGAGCCCCUGACCUGCUGCAAUUGUUCCCUUCCUGCUCUCCUCACCAACAGCCAACUUUAAAUACAGUUUAGUAGGUUAUUUAAUUAGUCGCAAUUUUUUGGCUCAAUUUAAAAUCACUGAAAACAUUAACAAAAUAAGCAAUAUUUUUAACUUCUUUUCGCUAAACCCAAUACAUUUCACUUAUCUUUCUGGGGGGGACGGGUGUCUUGGAGCAGCCACACCCCUUCCGCCUCCAGGCCAUACCCCUUUCACCACCUGGUCUUCCCGGGACUUGUGACAGGAUACUCUCUGGAGGCUUUAAGCCUAUCUCUGUGGCCACUCCCCUCCCAUCUUCUCUGAGGGUCCCCCUCUUCACCUGCAGGCUUUUCCUGAGACGCUCACACACGGGCACUCACUGCCCUCUGGACUGGGCCAGUUUGGCUCUUCCUGUCCUAGCCCAACAUACCCAGUGACCCUCUGUCCACCGGCCCUGGUACUCCAGACCUGUGAGUCCACUGCCUUUGGGCACAUCUACAUUCCUAACCCACAAGCAGCCCAAAAGUAGGCCCACUUGUCCUCACCCCUAAACCAACGCCUUCAUGUGUUUCCUAUUGGUGAUCAGCACCACCAAGGCUCCAGCGGCUGGAGCCGGAAGCUUCCUGGGUACCAUCCUCCUUUCCUUCUCCUUUCCUUCUCCUUUCCUUAUCCAAGGGCUAGAGGCCAAAA